UACGUAGGGUGCAAGCGUUGUCCGGAAUUAUUGGGCGUAAAGAGCUCGUAGGCGGCUUGUCGCGUCUGCUGUGAAAUCCUGAGGCUUAACCUUGGGCGUGCAGUGGGUACGGGCAAGCUAGAGUGCGGUAGGGGAGAUUGGAAUUCCUGGUGUAGCGGUGGAAUGCGCAGAUAUCAGGAGGAACACCGAUGGCGAAGGCAGAUCUCUGGGCCGUAACUGACGCUGAGGAGCGAAAGCAUGGGGAGCGAACAGG
rnacentral:rRNA from 1 species